AAGGUGUGUUGUUGUGGGUUUCUCACUAUGGUUUCUCAUUACUACAGAGAGCUUGAACCUGAAUGUUUUCUCUCCUGUUAUAGGUCUUUACUGUGUGACCCAACUAAAAUAGACCGAGUCUGAGAAGAAAGAUGGAUGACUUGGCUGGGAAGAAAAGAUGUCCUCAAUCCCAGGUCUCCCCUUAUAGUGGUCAUGAGGACAGAAUGAACAACUUCAUCACCAAAGAUGAGCCUCAUAAUGGUAAUCAUGGGAUUUAUCCAUGUGUUUGACUGAUGACAACAGACGUCACAAUGUACCACAAGGCAAGUUAAACACUCAAUAAACAAACAUUAAAAGUGACUUUUUUUCAAUAGUCCACUUUAGACGUAAAAAAAUGUGCAAUAACUGUAAAUAGUCAACUACCAGUCAUUGAUUAGAGUUUUAGUCUGACACUAACACUUUUUAAUGCUCCCCACCAGACAUUUUACUGACUGUAACUUUGCACCUACAAGUCAACUAGCAGUCAUUAGAUUAUUACUUAACUGUCUUCCCAAUAUCUGCUAACACUUUAUUUUGAUAUAUGUCUGCUUAAUAUCUGCUUCUAAUAGUCUAGUACUCCGAGUCUAAUGAGAUUAGUUGACAUGUAGUUGCAAAUCAAUGAGAGUUAUUAGUCAUGUAGUUGCAAAGUUACUAAUAGUUAGUAGAAUGUCUAAAUUGGACUGUGAACCAUAUGAAUUGUGGAUCUUCGGCCAGCAGAUUUGGUUAGUUUGCACUUUUUUUUUGCUGCAAAGCUCAUGAAAGCUUCCAGUAAACCACUGGAUUCAUAGUAAUGUUAUUUACCACAUGGGGAAUUUGCCCUUACUGUGAUGAUCAUUUAUUUUCAGAAAGCAUGUGGUCAUGAUGUCAAACUGAUACUUUUAUCUUGUGUGUCAUAUCUAUGCAUCUCAAUGCCACACUCAUGUUUACUGAGCCUCAACAGCAAAUGAACACCUUACCUGCACAUAAAACAACUGAUCAGCUCGGUUCAUCAGAUUAUCUGAUCAUCUUGAGACUGAUCUCUGAUUUGGGUUUAUUUUAACAUCAGUGUUAGCCCAAACCACAGGCUUUUACACAAACAAUGCAUAGGAUGUGACAGCGACUGAGGCUCCAACCAGAAGUCAGAGAUUGUUAGCCGCAUCACUUCCUGUGGAGGAGUGAGCGAGAGAAGCUGCUCAGUGCAGAGAGAGAAGUGUUGAUGUGAACUUCAGCGGACCAGCAGUGACAUUCACCGAUCUGAUUGAUAACCAACACUUUUAAAAUACUUUCACACUUUUAAAGAUGUUUGUCAGAGCUGUCUAAAGUUGCUUUCCCAAAAG